UUAAUUGGCGAUGGCGGAAGGGAACCACGUACCCAUCCGAACACGGCCGUUAAACGCUCCAGCGCCGAUGGUACUUGGACCGAAGGAUCCCGGGAAGUAGGACGCCGCCAAGC
rnacentral:rRNA from 1 species